rnacentral:miRNA from 1 species
CGUUUUAUAUUAUUAGUGUUG